UCUAAUUUUUCAUUGCCGUUUCCACCUCUACCGUCGAUUCAGUUUCUUUCGGUUUGUUUUCGUUUCAUCCGUUUCCGCGAAAAGUCCCAAUUAAUGAGACAGAUUAAACUUAAAAUAUAAAUAGCGCAUUUCUGUUAAUUGUGUAUCAGUCGGUGUAAUUUAAUUGUUUAGUUUUUCGUCAUUUGUUGAUUUAUUUCCCGAAGCGGCUGCUUAAGUGUAAGUGCGAGUGUCGGUGUGUGUGCACCGUGUGCGUGCGUGUGUUUUAUGCUGCCUCCUUCCGAUUGUGUGAAAAACAUUUGGGGCUUGUUAAAUAAAUCAGGAACGAAAAAAGGAAGUUUUCUAGUUGGUAUAGCAGUCAAGAGUGUGAGAAAGCAAGAUAAAGUCAAUCAGAGAUCCAUCCAUUCACAUGAAAAGGAGCCGAGGAAGGCAGUCAAGUUAACUGAAAACAAAACAACCAGCCAGCACACAAAGCAAACGAAUACUCUUGCCAAUUUAUCGAAUAAACAAGAAGCCGAGCCAGGAGAGACCCGACUGCCGCCCGGGGGCUCUUUCUCCGCAAUCAGCGCCCUCCAGCGUGCUAUACGUACUUUCGCACCCCUCGAUCCCCACCCGAAUCAUGGAGUUCAUGGAGUUCGGUCAUGUUUGAGCGCUUCCGACUGAGCAACCUGACCAGAACCUUUCGCCUGAGAGGAGGCGGCCCAGAACUGGCGCGCGACAAGAAGAACCCGCAACGGCAGCAAUGCGUCACCGUCCUGUUCCUAGAUGACAUCACGCACACCUUUCGGAUCGAGAAACGUGCAAAAGGCUCUGAACUUUUGGAUCAGGUCUUUCAAUAUCUCGAGUUAUCCGAAAGGGACUACUUUGGUCUACUCUUUCCCCAGAAGCCGGGUGACGUUGUGAGAUGGGUGGAUGCCCAGAAGCAGUUUAAGAAGCAAUGCAGCAGCGUUUCGCUGGACAACGAUGCCGUUCCAUUAUUAGAGUUUAAGGUUAAGUUCUUUGUAAGCGAUCCCAGCCGACUGCAGGAGGAGUUCACUCGCUACCAGUUCUAUCUGCAGAUCAAGCGUCAAAUCCUGCUGGGGAAGCUGCCAUGCUCCAGCAACACCCAGUGCCUGCUUGCCAGUUACACGGUGCAAUCCGAGUUGGGCGACUUCAAUGCCCCGGAACACCAGCCGGGCUAUUUGAACGGGAUGCAGUUGCUCAGCGACCAGACGCCCGAGGCGGAACGCAAAGUUGGAGAGCUGCAUAAGCUUCAUCGUGGCCAGCUUCCGGCGGACGCGGAGUACAACUAUCUGGAGCACGCUAAGCGACUGGAGCUGUACGGGAUCGACUUGCACAGGGCCACCGAUUCCAAUGGCAAGGAGCUGCAACUGGGCGUCUCGGCGGUGGGACUGCUCGUCUUCCAGCAUUCGCUGAGGGUGAACACCUUCUCGUGGAGUAAGAUGGUCAAGGUGUCGUUUAAGCGCAAGGACUUCUUCAUUCAGCUGCGCCGUGAGCCCAGCGAGAGCUACGACACCUUGCUGGGAUUCGGGAUGAGCAGCCACAAGCACGCCAAGGCGCUGUGGAAGUCCUGCGUGGAGCACCACAGCUUCUUCCGCCUAAAGCGACCGCACCGCCUCUCGCGCUUCCUGAACAUCAGCCUGGGCAGCAAGUUCUACUACUCGGGUCGCACAGAGCUUCAGGCGGUGCAGGAAUCCAAGCAGCGCGGCCGUAUCCACAAGGUCUUUGUGCGCUCGCCCAGCAAGCGGCUCCUUGGAGCAGCCGGCGGAACCUCGGGCUCCUCGGGAGGCACUCCGAUGCUGCAGCACAGCGGCUCCGAGAGUGCCACCUCCCACAAUGGAAAGCAAUCCACCGGAGGCACCAUUCUGACCAUUACCAAAACGAGCCGCGCGCACGACAACAAGGUCACUUCCAAGGAGGCCGACUCCAUGCCCAGAAAGGCCUGGGAGCAGCAGAGCGACGAGUAUGACAUCCAGCUAGACGUGGGUUUCAUCGAACAGUGCACGCGACGCUUUGAGUCUGCUUCUCCCUCGCCCAUGCCGCCCGCCUACAGCUCCGGCCAGCACAGCCCGCUCCUGCUGCCGACGACCAUUGCGGACGCAGUGGGUCAGCAGCAGCCUGAGAGUGGCAGCGACCUCAUCACUAUCCGGCUACAGGCCGACGAGCAGGGCCGCUACGGCUUCAACGUGAAGGGCGGCGUGGAUUUGAGUCUGCCGGUGCAGGUCUCUAAGGUGGUGCCCCAUACGCCCGCCGAUCGCUGCACGCCACGUGUCUGCGAGGGCGACGAGGUGCUGAUGAUCAAUGGACGAGAUGUGCACGGUCUGCGACAUGAGCAGGUGGUAACCAUGAUUCGCGACUGCCGUCACCAGGCCAGUGGCGAACUACUGCUCACUGUGCGCCCCCAGCGCUCGGCGCCCCUGCUUCUGGAGGAGGAGCCGCUCUAUCAGUACGUUCCGGAAAGCGACGAGAUCGGAUCGCACUCCAAUCUGCUUGAUGGGGAUGCUCUCUUCACCCAGAGCCUGCUGUUGCUAAGCGAUGGCUUGGCUUCCGGCGCUUUGCUGGCCCAGUACGAGCUCAUGUACAGGAAGAACCCGGAUCUGGCCAUUACAGAGGCUCGGAAGCCAGCAAAUGCCCCAAAGAACCGAUAUCGAGACAUAUCGCCAUAUGAUUGCACGCGGGUUUCUCUGGUCAACUCGCUUACUGGCGACUACAUCAACGCCAACUACGUGAACAUGGAGAUCCCCGGCGGAGCAGUGAACAGAUACAUAGCCACCCAGGGUCCACUGGCCAGCACCACAACGGACUUUUGGCGCAUGGUGCAGCAGGAGAGCAGCCACCUCCUGGUGAUGCUAACCACGGUGAUGGAGUCGGGUCGCCAGAAGUGUCACCAGUAUUGGCCGGUGACCGGCGAGGAGCUUCAGCUGGCGGAGGGAUUCUCGGUGCGCUGCCUCAGCGAAAAGCCCGAUGAAACCGGCAGCUUCGUAUUCCGCGAGUUUGUGCUGAAGGACAAGCACGAGCAGCGACACAUCCACCACAUGCAGUACCUGGCCUGGCCGGACCACUGUGUGCCCUCCGAUCCCAAUCUCUUUCUGGAGUUCACGGAGCGGGUGCGCGCCGCCCGGAACCGCACGCUUCUUCAGGAGAUCGAGGAGAGCCUGAAGCAGGUGCGUCUAAUGGACGCGGAUGCUGAUGCCGACGAGAACGGCGGCCUGAUGCGGGAGCGCAAGUGUGCGGCCAGCAAUGGAGCUACUCCGGAGGACGAGACGCCCGUCUCGACGAGCGUGCACCAAUGCAUCAGUGCCGCCAAUCCACCUGUAAUCGUCCACUGCUCGGCGGGAAUCGGACGGACGGGAGUGCUCAUACUGAUGGACACUGCGCUGGCUUUAAUGGAGGCCCGUGAGCCCGUUUACCCAUUGGACAUUGUGCGCACCAUGCGCGAUCAGCGUGCCUGCAUGGUGCAGAAUGUGAGCCAGUACCGCUUCGUGUGCGAGUGCAUCUGCGCCGCCUACAUGAAGAUCUCGCGCAGCAGUGCCGCCAUCAACGACGACGAGGAUUAGGGGUCACGACAAUCCAAUCCGGCUACGCAAUCUACAAUCUUCCGCUUUUCACGCCCCAAAACGAUUCGAGUUUUUCUUAUUCGAUACGAACCUACGCCUAACUCUAUCUAACCUCGCCGCAAGUGCUGCAAGGGAAACGAUUCUAAAUUUACAAAGCCACCACGGAAUGGUAAGCGGAGAGAACCAACUACCUAAUCGAAGUAUACAAAGCGAAACAAAUGGCAAUUUAUUUACACCCAUCCAACGCUAUACGCCACCCAAAGUUGGCGGUCGAGAACAAUACGCAAACAGCAACCAGAAUACGAUCCUUAUACACUGAUACACUGACAAGAGAAGAUAAAACUGUUAGUAUUUUAGCACCAAAUCAAUUCAUAAAUGUAUUUAUGCUACAAAAAAUCCAAUAAAAUGUGUAAUUAAAAAAGAA